rnacentral:rRNA from 1 species
GACGAACGCUGGCGGCGUGCCUAAUACAUGCCAGUAGAACGCUGAAGCGAGGAGCUUGCUCUUCUUGGAUGAGUUGCGAACGGGUGAGUAACGCGUAGGUAACCUGCCUUGUAGCGGGGGAUAACUAUUGGAAACGAUAGCUAAUACCGCAUAACAAUAGGUGACACAUGUCAUUUAUUUGAAAGGGGCAAUUGCUCCACUACAAGAUGGACCUGCGUUGUAUUAGCUAGUAGGUGAGGUAACGGCUCACCUAGGCGACGAUACAUAGCCGACCUGAGAGGGUGAUCGGCCACACUGGGACUGAGACACGGCCCAGACUCCUACGGGAGGCAGCAGUAGGGAAUCUUCGGCAAUGGGGGCAACCCUGACCGAGCAACGCCGCGUGAGUGAAGAAGGUUUUCGGAUCGUAAAGCUCUGUUGUAAGUCAAGAACGAGUGUGAGAGUGGAAAGUUCACACUGUGACGGUAGCUUACCAGAAAGGGACGGCUAACUACGUG